rnacentral:rRNA from 1 species
ACGGGAGGGGCAAGCGUUAUCCGAAAUUAUUGGGCGUAAAGUGUCCGUAGACUGUAAUAUAAGUUAUUUGUUAAAUUUUAAAGCUUAACUUUAAAAUAGCAUUUAAUACUGUUUUACUUGAGUUUUAUACAGAAAAAUAGAAUUUCAAAUGUAGGAGUAAUUUCCAUAGAUAUGUGAAGGAACACCAAUAGCGAAAGCAAUUUUUUAGUAAAAACUGACGUUGAGGGACGAAAGUAUAGGUAGCAAACAGG